UACGUAGGGUGCAAGCGUUAAUCGGAAUUACUGGGCGUAAAGCGUGCGCAGGCGGUUAUGUAAGACAGGUGUGAAAUCCCCGGGCUUAACCUGGGAACUGCAUUUGUGACUGCAUAGCUAGAGUACGGUAGAGGGGGAUGGAAUUCCGCGUGUAGCAGUGAAAUGCGUAGAGAUGCGGAGGAACACCGAUGGCGAAGGCAGCCCCCUGGGCCAAUACUGACGCUCAGGCACGAAAGCGUGGGGAGCAAACAGG
rnacentral:rRNA from 1 species